CACUAGCCCUGAUAGCAGUGAAAAUCCUUUCUAGAGCUGAAUUUUUUUCAGCUCUAGAAAGAUUGAAACGAAUAGCAGGGUUAAGC
rnacentral:sRNA from 1 species